ensembl:lncRNA
UUUUUUUUUUUUUUUUUUUUUUUUUUUUUUUUUUUUUUUUUGAUAGCCAUUUUAAGAAGAUCUAUUGAAAACAGAAAAAAAACCAAGCCAAACAUAACACAACUCUUUGUUUCUACAUCACCUUGCUUCUGAGUCACCGAUAACCUCCAAAUCUUACCUCUCCUUUGACACCCUUUCCCACCAGAGACGUCUGAGCACAGUCAGGUACUAGGUUUUAUCACUGAUACAUAGCAUCUGUUCUAAUAGGUCCAGUCAGCCACGUGCAAUUCAUGAAAGAACUGCAUUCUCUCAUUUCUAUCCUUCUGCCUUGAAAAAAACCAGGUCCACCUCCUAAAUAAUUAAUUUCAAGUCUGCAUCCAGUGCCAAUACUUGUUGCAUCCAUUUUAGAGUUUGAUUAAUUACCCUGGAACUUGGGCAAACUAAACUCCAUGUGGAGACUGUUUCUUCCUUCAAUUUGGUUCUGAAAGCUACAAGUUAUUGAUGGAUCUUGCUCUAUUUACAUACAAAUUGGUGCAAAUAUGCCCAUCUCUUAAAUGCAUUUUGUAUAAAUAUAUAAAAGUGUCAUUUUUGAUUUAGCUUGAAGAGGUUGAUCAUUUAUUACAAAAAUAAACGAAUAAAUACAACAAUAUAUUGUUGCUUCCAACAGGAUAAAUACUUUACAAAUAUAUAAUUUAAAAAACAAAUUUAAUUGUUAAAAUUAUUUAAAAUAUUACACUUAUUGAUAAAAACUAUCAAUAGCAUAUACUGCAUUUAAUAUUAGAACCAAUUAUUCUCUGAAUGUGGAAAACCAGUCAUACAAAACAGAUUAUGAGCAUGGUAAUGAGCAAACACUGGAGGCUACAGAGAAGCAGAGGGAAUCUCUAAGAUCAAUAAUGAAUAGUUCUGUUUUGGAACAAAGAAGUAGUCCUUGGCUAAGUACUUAAAAAGAAAAAAAAGGCAGAGCAACAACAGCAAAGUGACUAUUUUAAAUACACCUUGAAUGAUUUAUCGCCCAGUUGCAGGGGAAGGUGGUUGGUGAAUGAGCUGAUGGUGGCUCUGACAACGGAUGGGAGCCACAGGAUCCUGCAAAUUCUAAAUGGGCCUAGUUUGGGAUUAGCCAGAUUGAUGGAACAGAACUUUGUCACUUUCCUUUGGGUUGGAAGGGGAGGAGGGGGGUGGGCUGAAAUGGAGGAAACAAAUGGACACUUGACGAAGCACAAGACACUUGCGCUGCAAAGGAACACAAUGACCAAAUUCAUUAAAAAGAUCUGGUGAUAGAUAACAAUAUUUUCAUUAUUUACAUGUGUAACAAUAUAAGCCUUAGCACAAAACCUCUCAGUUAUAUCUGCCCUCUUUUGUUUUCCAGCCAUGAAUUUCAUUUUGUAAAUACAUUCAAAGGGUUGUUUUUUUUUUUUAUAAAAAAUAUGGAGUGCAAGCAUCAGCUCACUUUUAAAAAUACAAAAGAAUGAAACAAAAUGGGCCAGCUUUCCCAGCUUCUCU